rnacentral:rRNA from 1 species
GCCAGCAAUGGUCUCUGUGUAGGUUGCUGCAUGGUUGUCGGUCAGCUCGUGCCGUGAGGUGUCGGCUUAAGUGCCAUAACGAGCGCAACCCUUAUCGUUAGUUGCCAUCGGGUCAUGCCGGGAACUCUAGCGAGACUGCCACCGUAAGGUGUGAGGAAGGUGGGGAUGACGUCAAAUCAGCACGGCCCUUACGUCCGGGGCGACACACGUGUUACAAUGGGGGGUACAGAGGGUUGCUACCAAGCGAUUGGAUGCUAAUCUCUAUAAAGCCUCUCUCAGUUCGGAUCGGAGUCUGCAACUCGACUCCGUGAAGCUGGAUUCGCUAGUAAUCGCGCAUCAGCCAUGGCGCGGUGAAUACGUUCCCGGGCCUU